GGUUGCGAUCAUACCAUCACUAAUGCACCGGAUCCCAUCAGAACUCCGCAGUUAAGCGUGCUUGGGCGAGUGUAGUACUAGGAUGGGUGACCCCCUGGGAAGUCCUCGUGUUGCAAUCC
rnacentral:rRNA from 1 species